CUGAUCUUGGAAGCCUGAGUCUAAGAUCGGUUGCUGGUGCAUUUUCAGAGUUCCUCAAGCUCCUUCUCGAAGUUCACCUUCUUCCAACUAUAAUCCAUGAUCCCUUUCACGUGGAGGUUCCAGAAGUGGGUGGCCUCUGCUGCAGCCUCUGAGUGGUUUUUCCUCAGUCCGCGAAGUUCGUCUUCCAUCUUCUUUGACUUUUUGUUAAGUGAUAAACUUUCCUUUUCAGAUUUUAGAUCACCGACUUCAGAGGAGCUCCCUGUGGUAGGAGAAGAGC
rnacentral:lncRNA from 1 species